CGCGUAGGUAACCUGCCUUGUAGCGGGGGAUAACUAUUGGAAACGAUAGCUAAUACCGCAUAACAAUGGGUGACUCAUGUCAUUUAUUUGAAAGGGGCAAAUGCUCCACUACAAGAUGGACCUGCGUUGUAUUAGCUAGUAGGUGAGGUAACAGCUCACCUAGGCGACGAUACAUAGCCGACCUGAGAGGGUGAUCGGCCACACUGGGACUGAGACACGGCCCAG
rnacentral:rRNA from 1 species